UUUAUUUUGGUGUAAUAUGAGCACAUAAAAUUUUGAUUUUUAAGGGAGAAAAUAACA
rnacentral:tRNA from 1 species